rnacentral:rRNA from 1 species
CCUACGGGUCGCAGCAGUGGGGAAUAUUGGACAAUGGGCGAAAGCCUGAUCCAGCCAUGCCGCGUGUGUGAAGAAGGCCUUCGGGUUGUAAAGCACUUUCAGUGGGGAAGAAAGCCUUGGGGCUAAUACCCUCGAGGAAGGACAUCACCCACAGAAGAAGCACCGGCUAACUCCGUGCCAGCAGCCGCGGUAAUACGGAGGGUGAGAGCGUUAAUCGGAAUUAUUGGGCGUAAAGCGCGCGUAGGCGGUCUGAUAAGCCGGUUGUGAAAGCCCCGGGCUCAACCUGGGAACGACAUCCGGAACUGUCAGGCUAGAGUGCAGGAGAGGAAGGUAGAAUUCCCGGUGUAGCGGUGAAAUGCGUAGAGAUCGGGAGGAAUACCAGUGGCGAAGGCGGCCUUCUGGACUGACACUGACGCUGAGGUGCGAAAGCGUGGGUAGCAAACAGGAUUAGAUACCCGGGUAGUC